UUAUCAUGAAUAGAAUUAGAUAUUUGGUUACUUGAAUAAUGAGUAAUUUAUAGUUUAUUUUCUAAAAGACAUUUUGAAUUGAAUAAAUUUUAUUCAUUGAAUUUAUAUAUAAUUAUUUACCAUCUGACAGAGAGUUUAUCCGUAAAUCACUCCAAAAUUUUACAAAUAUGCAUAAAUAAAAGUUAACAUAAUGAAAAAUAAACUGACAACAGUCCAUCACUUACAAUCUGCUUUUGAAGAAGCUAUUAGUUAUUCAAAAUAUCAGCCCUCCAAAGGUUAUUGGUGGGAAUUUAAAGAUCAUGAUUCUUCAGGUAA